UGGGGAAUCUUAGACAAUGGGGGAAACCCUGAUCUAGCCAUGCCGCGUGAGUGACGAAGGCCCUAGGGUCGUAAAGCUCUUUCGCCAGGGAUGAUAAUGACAGUACCUGGUAAAGAAACCCCGGCUAACUCCGUGCCAGCAGCCGCGGUAAUACGGAGGGGGUUAGCGUUGUUCGGAAUUACUGGGCGUAAAGCGCGCGUAGGCGGGCUGUUAAGUCGGGGGUGAAAUCCCGGGGCUCAACCCCGGAACUGCCUCCGAUACUGGCAGCCUAGAGUUCGAGAGAGGUGAGUGGAAUUCCGAGUGUAGAGGUGAAAUUCGUAGAUAUUCGGAGGAACACCAGUGGCGAAGGCGGCUCACUGGCUCGAUACUGACGCUGAGGUGCGAAAGCGUGGGGAGCAAACA
rnacentral:rRNA from 1 species